rnacentral:rRNA from 1 species
UACGGAGGGUGCAAGCGUUUGUCCGGAUUUAUUGGGUUUAAAGGGUGCGUAGGCGGCCCGGUAAGUCAGUGGUGAAAGCCUCCAGCUCAACUGGAGAACUGCCAUUGAUACUGUCGGGGCUUGAGUACAGACGAGGUUUGGCGGAAUUGAUUGUGUAGCGGUGAAAUGCAUAGAUACAAUCAAGAACUCCGAUUGCGUAGGCAGCUAACUAGGCUGUAACUGACGCUGAGGCACGAAAGCGUGGGGAGCGAACAGG